rnacentral:lncRNA from 1 species
AAAAUUUCAGAAAAAAAAUAAACAUUUGUUUUUCAUUACAAAUUUUAUUUAUUACCUUUUGUAGUUGUUACUUUAUCAUAUGGUACAAAAAUCAUUCAAAGCUAUCAAUUCGUGUUAGCCCCAGAUGACUUUUAAAAUGUAUACAUCAUUGAAAAAAUUCCAAAUUAUCUCCCUUGGGUGGAAAAAUGCCUUGUUUUGGCUUUAAAAUUGAAAUAUCUUUUUAAACUCAUCGGUGACCUAUAUUUUUUAAUAUAAUUUUCAUAUAAGAUGUACUUAAACUAAAUUAUUGUAAAAUUUGAGCGAUUUCUGUAAUAAAUUUCUUUUUUUUUUUCGAUAUCAUCUUUAUUUCUCCUAUUACUUCAACAGAAAAAAACCACCUUUACAAAAAUGUAUGCUUCUUUCGAAGGCAGAUUGUGAGCGCAAAUGAACGGUGACCCCACUUUUUUAUUGUAUUUUUAUAUUAACUAUAAGAUAAAGUUCAUUUAUAGAAAAAUAUAGAGAAAUCCUAUAUAAAUGAUUUAGACCUGCGACCCCCCUUAAGUAUAAUUAACAAGUAUGCGUCAAUAGUCUCAGUUCUGUUGGUUUUUUUUAACUUACACCAAAUAUAGUUCGUUGAAUGGGUAAAUGAAUAAAGGGAUGAUCAUAUAUUUUACGUCAACAUUGUACUAAAAGCGCGAAAAUCACUAUGUGAUCCGUGUAAACUCAUCGAACCUUUAAACAAACUUAUAAGUAAAGGAUAUCUUACCAAUGUU